GACAGCAUGUACAAACUAAGGUGCCCUGUCACUCAGAAGGGUCAGCGUGUACAAACCAAGGUGCCCUGUCACUCAGAAGGGUCAGCAUGUACAAACCAAGGUGCCCUGUCACUCAGAAGGGACAGCGUGUACAAACUAAGGUGCCCUGUCACUCAGAAGGGACAGCAUGUACAAACUAAGGUGCCCUGUCACUCAGAAGGGUCAGCGUGUACAAACCAAGGUGCCCUGUCACUCAGAAGGGUCAGCGUGUACAAACCAAGGUGCCCUGUCACUCAGAAGGGUCAGCGUGUACAAACCAAGGUGCCCUGUCACUGUUUCAACUUUUCCCAGUGUCACUCUAUUUAAACAGCAAAGCUCUCUACUCAGAACAUUCAUCUAGGGGUUUCUGCGUGAGCUUUGGAACCAGGAAUUGUUUCUUUUAAGCUGUGCUGAGGUUGAUAAAUCAUCCGUUCCUGUAACGUGAAUUUCUAAUGACUGGAAUCCUGGUCUAGUUGCAUCAUUUCUCCUCCACCAAUCCAAGUUUCCUUUUUCCACACGGAUCAUGUGUCUACAGCCGAUAUCACUAAUUAGGCUACAGUCAGAUCCUUCCUGGCAUGAAAUAUUCAAAAUGACUUGUUUUAAUGACUCUCGUGAUGUUAUGUUUUCCCACUUUGGUUGCAGUAAAAUAAACAUAUACACAUGUAUAUCACAUGGUGAAGUAUAACUAUUGUAAGUGUACUUUUCAGUGCAUUAUUUAUGUGUAGAUGUGUUCAAUGAUCACUGCUGUCCCUCUCCAAAACUCUUUCAAAACUAAAGUUUUGUGUCCAUUAAAUGGUGAUUCCUCUUGAUGCUGCCAACCACCUUCCCGAG
rnacentral:lncRNA from 1 species